UACGAAGGGUGCGAGCGUUGUUCGGAAUUAUUGGGCGUAAAGCGCACGUAGGCGGCCUUGUAAGUCUCACUGUGAAAGCCCGGGGCUCAACCCCGGGAGGCCAGGGGAUACUGCAAGGCUGGAGACAAGCAGAGGUUGGUAGAAUUCCGGGUGUAGCGGUGGAAUGCGUAGAGAUCCGGAGGAAUACCAGAGGCGAAGGCGGCCAACUGGGCUUGUUCUGACGCUGAGGUGCGAAAGCGUGGGGAGCGAACAGG
rnacentral:rRNA from 1 species